GAUGAAGAACGCAGCGAAAUGCGAUACGUAAUGUGAAUUGCAGAAUUCAGUGAAUCAUCGAAUCUUUGAACGCAUAUUGCGCUCUCUGGUAUUCCGGAGAGCAUGCUUGUUUGAGUAUCAGUAAACACCUCAAUUUCCAUAUCUUUUUUGAAAUGGGAGUUGGACUUGAGUGAUCCCAACGCUUUUCCUCACCGAAAAGUGGCGGGUUACUUGAAAUGCAGGUGCAGCUGGACUUUUCUCUGAGCUAUAAGCAUAUCUAUUUAGUCUGCCUAAAAAACAGAUUAUUACCUUUGCUGCAGCUAACAUAAAGGAGAUUAGUUCUUGUGCUGACUGAUGCAGGAUUCACAAAGACAGGCUUCGGCCGACUUUGUAAACUCGAUCUCAAAUCAAGUAAGACUACCCGCUGAACUUAAGCAUAUCAAUAAGCGGAGGA
rnacentral:misc_RNA from 1 species